GCUGAGGUAUAUUUAGUGAUUGCUAUUACAGUAGCACAUAUCAAGUUUACAAAAUAACCAAUAAAUUGCAAUGUGCAUGUAUAAACAGACAGAAAUAAUUCAUAUCCAUCUAUCAAGAUUCUAACUGGAAAUCUAAAUUAACCAGGCCUCUUAUAUGGUACUUGAAGAUAUAAUGGCAAAGUCAUACAUUGGGGGUAUUGUUUUACUCAGAAAAGAAAGCUAAGCAUAAUUUAGGAUUUUGUAUAGGAGUAGCACACUCCAGGUAUAUGAAAUACAUAUUUUAAAAAACCUUGUGUGUAUGUAAAAAAACGAAAACAGAAAAAAAAUAGACAAUUUUAGCAGAUAUUGGCUAUCAAAUAGCUAUGUAAAAGUGGCAAAAUACCCUG